UAACACGAACCGGACGAACGUUAUUCGGAAUCACUGGGCUUAAAGAGUGCGUAGGCGGCUUGGCAAGUUGGGUGUGAAAUCCCUCGGCUCAACCGAGGAAUUGCGCCCAAAACUGCCAGACUUGAGGGAGACAGAGGUGAGCGGAACUGAUGGUGGAGCGGUGAAAUGCGUUGAUAUCAUCAGGAACACCGGUGGCGAAGGCGGCUCACCGGGUCUCUUCUGACGCUGAGGCACGAAAGCUAGGGGAGCGAACGGGAUUAGAUACCCCGGUAGUCCUAGCUGUAAACGAUGAGCACUGGGUCGAGGGAACCUUCACAUUCUCUCGGCCGUAGCGAAAGUGUUAAGUGCUCCGCCUGGGGAGUAUGGUCGCAAGGCUG
rnacentral:rRNA from 1 species